ensembl:piRNA 21ur-11510 ncRNA
UUAAUAAAUGGAUAAGAUUUU